rnacentral:rRNA from 1 species
GACGAACGCUGGCGGCGUGCUUAACACAUGCAAGUCGAACGGAAAGGCCCUGCUUUUGUGGGGUGCUCGAGUGGCGAACGGGUGAGUAACACGUGAGUAACCUGCCCUUGACUUUGGGAUAACUUCAGGAAACUGGGGCUAAUACCGGAUAGGAGCUCCUGCUGCAUGGUGGGGGUUGGAAAGUUUCGGCGGUUGGGGAUGGACUCGCGGCUUAUCAGCUUGUUGGUGGGGUAGUGGCUUACCAAGGCUUUGACGGGUAGCCGGCCUGAGAGGGUGACCGGACACAUUGGGACUGAGAUACGGCCCAGACUACUACGGGAGGCAGAAGUGGGGAAUAGUGCACAAUGGGCGGAAGCAUGAUGCAGCAAAGCAGCGUGCGGGAUGACGGCCUGCGGGUUGUAAACCGCUUUCGCCUGUGACGAAGCGUGAGUGACGGUAAUGGGUAAAGAAGCACCGGCUAACUACGUG